GGGCGUGAGAGCGUGACCCCCCACACUGGCACUGAGACACGGGCCAGACUCCUACGGGAGGCAGCAGUCGGGGAUAUUGCGCAAUGGACGAAAGUCUGACGCAGCGACGCCGCGUGAGUGAUGAAGGCCUUCGGGUUGUAAAACUCUUUUAUGGGGGAAGAGGAAGGACGGUACCCCAUGAAUAAGCGUCGGCUAACUACGUGCCAAGCAGCCGCGGUUAAAACGUAGGACGCAAGCGUUAUCCGGAUUUACUGGGCGUAAAGAGCGUUGAGGCGGUUCUGUAAGUUGGGCGUGAAAGCCCUCGGCUUAACUGAGGGACGCCGUCCAAUACUGCAGGACUUGAGGGCAGCAGAGGGAGGUGGAAUUCCCGGUGUAGCGGUGAAAUGCGUAGAGAUCGGGAGGAACACCAGUGGCGAAGGCGGCCUCCUGGGCUGCUUCUGACGCUGAAUGCGAAAGCUAGGGUAGCGAACGGGAUUAGAAACCCCGGUAGUCCUAGCUGUAAACGAUGGAUGCUAGGUGUAGGAGGUAUAGAUCCCUUCUGUGCCGAAGCUAACGCGAUAAGCAUCCCGCCUGGGGACUACGGCCGCAAGGCUAAAACUCAAACGAAUUGACGGGGGCCCGCACAAGCAGCGGAGCGUGUGGUUUAAUUCGAUGCUACACGAAGAACCUUACCUGGGUUUGACAUGUAGGUAGUAGUGAAGCGAAAGCGGAACGACCCUUCGGGGAGCCUACACAGGUGCUGCAUGGCUGUCGUCAGCUCGUGCCGUGAGGUGUCGGGUUAAGUCCCGUAACGAGCGCAACCCCUGUCCUUAGUUACAAGUGUCUAAGGAGACUGCCGGCGACAAGCCGGAGGAAGGUGGGGAUGACGUCAAGUCAGCAUGGCCUUUAUGUCCAGGGCUACACACACGCUACAAUGGCCGGUACAAUGGGUUGCCAAGCCGUGAGGCGGAGCUAAUCCCCCAAAGCCGGUCUCAGUUCGGAUUGUGGGCUGCAACUCGCCCACAUGAAGUUGGAGUUGCUAGUAACCGCAGGUCAGCUAUACUGCGGUGAUACGUUCCCGGGCCUUGUACACACCGCCCGUCACGUCAUGGAAGU
rnacentral:rRNA from 1 species